rnacentral:rRNA from 1 species
CCUACGGGAGGCUGCAGUGGGGAAUAUUGCACAAUGGGCGCAAGCCUGAUGCAGCCAUGGCGCGUGUGUGAAGAAGGCCUUCGGGUUGUAAAGCACUUUCAGCGGGGAGGAAGGCGUUAAGGUUAAUAACCUUGGCGAUUGACGUUACCCGCAGAAGAAGCACCGGCUAACUCCGUGCCAGCAGCCGCGGUAAUACGGAGGGUGCAAGCGUUAAUCGGAAUUACUGGGCGUAAAGCGCACGCAGGCGGUCUGUCAAGUCGGAUGUGAAAUCCCCGGGCUCAACCUGGGAACUGCAUUCGAAACUGGCAGGCUAGAGUCUUGUAGAGGGGGGUAGAAUUCCAGGUGUAGCGGUGAAAUGCGUAGAGAUCUGGAGGAAUACCGGUGGCGAAGGCGGCCCCCUGGACAAAGACUGACGCUCAGGUGCGAAAGCGUGGGGAGCAAACAGGAUUAGAUACCCCUGUAGUC